CCUACGGGAGGCUGCAGUGAGGAAUAUUGGUCAAUGGGCUUACGCCUGAACCAGCCAAGUCGCGUGAGGGAAGACUGCCCUAUGGGUUGUAAACCUCUUUUGUCAGGGAGCAAUUGGCGCUACGUGUAGCGUUAUCGAGAGUACCUGAAGAAAAAGCAUCGGCUAACUCCGUGCCAGCAGCCGCGGUAAUACGGAGGAUGCGAGCGUUAUCCGGAUUUAUUGGGGUAAAAGGGUGCGUAGGCGGAAUGCCAAGUCAGCGGUAAAAUCGCGGGGCUCAACCUCGCUCCGCCGUUGAAACUGGCGUGCUUGAGUGGGCGAGAGGUAUGCGGAAUGCGUGGUGUAGCGGUGAAAUGCAUAGAUAUCACGCAGAACUCCGAUUGCGAAGGCAGCAUACCGGCGCCCAACUGACGCUGAAGCACGAAAGCGUGGGUAUCGAACAGGAUUAGAUACCCGGGUAGUC
rnacentral:rRNA from 1 species